rnacentral:snRNA from 1 species
GUGAUUGCUUCGGCAGUAUGUAUACUAAAAUUGGAAUGAUCCAGAGAUUAGCACGGCCCUGUGCAAGGAUGACACGCAAAUUCAUGAACAUUAAGAUGCGCAG